rnacentral:piRNA from 1 species
UGCUGGUUGACUGCUAGUGGGUCUG